rfam:Sphingobium baderi strain DE-13, complete genome.
CCGCUUGAUAAAGCGGCCGGCGCGCUCCAUAUAGGACGUGCCGGGUUCGCCCGGCUAUGGUGAUAAAUCGUGUCGUGCAAUAGGCGCAGCGGACCCGGGGGCAGUACCCGGCGGCUCCACCACAUAUCCCGGUGGCCUUUGAAAGGGCUGGACGGGGUGUCUGACGGGGCCGAACUAGGAUCGACGUGUGUUGAAAAGCGAAUGCCUUCACCCGGCCUGAGUACGCCGUAAAAAUGUUCAAAACUCACAAGUGCCAACGAUAACGAGGCUCUUGCUCUUGCUGCGUAAUUGAUGGCCUCACGGCCUGACAUUACCCAAAAAGAACGCGGUUGAACCCACCGGGCAACAGAAGGGAAUUCA